rnacentral:rRNA from 1 species
GACGAACGCUGGCGGCGUGCCUAAUACAUGCAAGUUGAGCGCUGAAGGUUGGUACUUGUACCAACUGGAUGAGCAGCGAACGGGUGAGUAACGCGUGGGGAAUCUGCCUUUGAGCGGGGGACAACAUUUGGAAACGAAUGCUAAUACCGCAUAAAAACUUUAAACACAAGUUUUAAGUUUGAAAGAUGCAAUUGCAUCACUCAAAGAUGAUCCCGCGUUGUAUUAGCUAGUUGGUGAGGUAAAGGCUCACCAAGGCGAUGAUACAUAGCCGACCUGAGAGGGUGAUCGGCCACAUUGGGACUGAGACACGGCCCAAACUCCUACGGGAGGCAGCAGUAGGGAAUCUUCGGCAAUGGACGAAAGUCUGACCGAGCAACGCCGCGUGAGUGAAGAAGGUUUUCGGAUCGUAAAACUCUGUUGGUAGAGAAGAACGUUAGUGGGAGUGGAAAGCUCAUCAAGUGACGGUAACUACCCAGAAAGGGACGGCUAACUACGUG